GAUGAACGCUGGCGGCGUGCCUAAUACAUGCAAGUCGAGCGAACAGACGAGGAGCUUGCUCCUCUGACGUUAGCGGCGGACGGGUGAGUAACACGUGGAUAACCUACCUAUAAGACUGGGAUAACUUCGGGAAACCGGAGCUAAUACCGGAUAAUAUAUUGAACCGCAUGGUUCAAUAGUGAAAGACGGUUUUGCUGUCACUUAUAGAUGGAUCCGCGCCGCAUUAGCUAGUUGGUAAGGUAACGGCUUACCAAGGCAACGAUGCGCAGCCGACCUGAGAGGGUGAUCGGCCACACUGGAACUGAGACACGGUCCAGACUCCUACGGGAGGCAGCAGUAGGGAAUCUUCCGCAAUGGGCGAAAGCUUGACGGAGCAACGCCGCGUGAGUGAUGAAGGUCUUCGGAUCGUAAAACUCUGUUAUUAGGGAAGAACAAAUGUGUAAGUAACUAUGCACGUCUUGACGGUACCUAAUCAGAAAGCCACGGCUAACUACGUG
rnacentral:rRNA from 1 species